GAUGAACGCUGGCGGCGUGCCUAAUACAUGCAAGUCGAGCGAACAGAUGAGGAGCUUGCUCCUCUGACGUUAGCGGCGGACGGGUGAGUAACACGUGGAUAACCUACCUAUAAGACUGGGAUAACUUCGGGAAACCGGAGCUAAUACCGGAUAAUAUCUUGAACCGCAUGGUUCAAUAGUGAAAGACGGUUUUGCUGUCACUUAUAGAUGGAUCCGCGCCGCAUUAGCUAGUUGGUAAGGUAACGGCUUACCAAGGCAACGAUGCGUAGCCGACCUGUGAGGGUGAUAGGCCGCCCUGGAACGGAGCCACGGUCCAGGCUCCUACGGGAGGCAGCAGUAGGGAAUCUUCCGCAGUGGGCGAAAACCUGACGGAGCAACGCCGCGUGAGUGAUGAAGGUCUUCGGAUCGUAAAACUCUGUUAUUAGGGAUGAACAGAUGUGUAAGUAACUAUGCACGUCUUGACGGUACCUAAUCAGAAAGCCACGGCUAACUACGUG
rnacentral:rRNA from 1 species